rnacentral:rRNA from 1 species
AGUGAACGCUGGCGGUAGGCCUAACACAUGCAAGUCGAACGGCAGCACAGUAAGAGCUUGCUCUUACGGGUGGCGAGUGGCGGACGGGUGAGGAAUACAUCGGAAUCUACUUUUUCGUGGGGGAUAACGUAGGGAAACUUACGCUAAUACCGCAUACGACCUACGGGUGAAAGCAAGGGAUCUUCGGACCUUUCGCGAUUGAAUGAGCCGAUGUCGGAUUAGCUAGUUGGCGGGGUAAAGGCCCACCAAGGCGACGAUCCGUAGCUGGUCUGAGAGGAUGAUCAGCCACACUGGAACUGAGACACGGUCCAGACUCCUACGGGAGGCAGCAGUGGGGAAUAUUGGACAAUGGGCGGAAGCCUGAUCCAGCCAUACCGCGUGGGUGAAGAAGGCCUUCGGGUUGUAAAGCCCUUUUGUUGGGAAAGAAAAGCAGCAGGUUAAUACCCCGCUGUUCUGACGGUACCCAAAGAAUAAGCACCGGCUAACUUCGUG